AUGGAGCCGACCUUGAAAUACCACCCUUUAAUGUUUGAUGUUCUAACGUUGACCCGUGAUCCGGGUUGCGGACAGUGUCUGGUGGGUAGUUUGACUGGGGCGGUCUCCUCCUAAAGAGUAACGGAGGAGCACGAAGGUUGGCUAAUCCUGGUCGGACAUCAGGAGGUUAGUGCAAUGGCAUAAGCCAGCUUGACUGCGAGCGUGACGGCGCGAGCAGGUGCGAAAGCAGGUCAUAGUGAUCCGGUGGUUCUGAAUGGAAGGGCCAUCGCUCAACGGAUAAAAGGUACUCCGGGGAUAACAGGCUGAUACCGCCCAAGAGUUCAUAUCGACGGCGGUGUUUGGCACCUCGAUGUCGGCUCAUCACAUCCUGGGGCUGAAGUAGGUCCCAAGGGUAUGGCUGUUCGCCAUUUAAAGUGGUACGCGAGCUGGGUUUAGAACGUCGUGAGACAGUUCGGUCCCUAUC
rnacentral:rRNA from 1 species